CCUACGGGAGACAGCAGUGGGGAAUAUUGGGCAAUGGGCGCAAGCCUGACCCAGCAAAGCCGCGUGAAGGAAGAAGGCUUUCGGGUUGGAAACUUCUUUUCUCAGGGACGCAGCAAGUGACGGUACCUGCGGAAUAAGCCACGGCUAACUACGUGCCAGCAGCCGAGGUCAUACGUAGGUGGCAGGCGUUAUCCGGAUUUACUGGGUGUAAAGGGCGUGUAGGCGGGACUGCAAGUCAGAUGGGAAAACCACGGGCUCAACCUGUGGCCUGCAGUUGAAACUGUAGGUCUUGAGUACUCGAGAGGCAGACGGAAUUCCUAGUGUAGCGGUGAAAUGCGUAGAUAUUA
rnacentral:rRNA from 1 species